GAUGAACGCUGGCGGCGUGCCUAAUACAUGCAAGUCGAGCGGACAGACGAGGAUCUUGCUCCUCUGUCGUUAGCGGCGGACGGGUGAGUAACACGUGUAUAACCUACCUAUCAUACUGGGAUAACUUCGGAACACCGGCUCUAAUACCGGAUAAUAUAUUGCACCGCAUGGGUCGAUAGUGAAAGACGGUUUUGCUGUCAGUUCUAGCUGGAUAUGCGCCGCAUUAGCUAGUUGUUCAGGUCACGGCUUACCAAGGCAACGAUGCGUAGCCGAACGGAGAGGGGGAUCGGCGACACGGGAACGGAGACACGGACCAGACUACUACGGGAGGCAGCAGUAGGGAACGUUACGCAAUGGGCGAAAGCCUGACGGAGCGAGGCCGCGUGAGUGAUGAAGGUCUUCGGAGCGUAAAGCUCUGUUAUGAGGGAAGAACAAAUGUGGAAGUAACUAUGCACGUCUUGACGGUACCUAGUCAGAAAGCCACGGCUAACUACGUG
rnacentral:rRNA from 1 species